AGAAUUAAUACUUCAAGCAAUGAAAUAACGAAUUAAAUGUGCCACUUUAAUAACGACUGAUAACCUUAAAAUUAAUCAUGCAUGCAAUUUUAGUAGACUUAACAUGGUCGGCGAUAAGAUAUCAAAUAUAAAAAAAGAAGAUGUGGUAUGAGGUCAAUGAGACAACUAUCUACAGGAAACCAAAAUAACACAGAAAUAACAAACUAUGGGUCACCGUACGGCCUUCAACAAUGAGCAAAGCACAUACCGCAUAGUCGGCUAUAAAAGGCCCCGAAAUGACAAUGUAAAACAAUCAGUC
rnacentral:lncRNA from 1 species